rnacentral:rRNA from 1 species
UACGUAGGGUGCAAGCGUGUCCGGAAUUAUUGGGCGUAAAGAGCUCGUAGGCGGUCUGUCGCGUCUGCUGUGAAACUCAGGGCUUAACCCUGAGCUUGCAGUGGGUACGGGCAGACUAGAGGUGCGGUAGGGGAGACUGGAAUUCCGUGGUGUAGCGGUGAAAUGCGCAGAUAUCAGGAGGAACACCGGUGGGCGAAAGGC